rnacentral:rRNA from 1 species
UACGGAGGGGGCUAGCGUUGUUCGGAAUUACUGGGCGUAAAGCGCACGUAGGCGGCUUUGUAAGUUAGAGGUGAAAGCCCAGGGCUUAACCCUGGAAUUGCCUUUAAGACUGCAUCGCUAGAAUCGUGGAGAGGUGAGUGGAAUUCCGAGUGUAGAGGUGAAAUUCGUAGAUAUUCGGAAGAACACCAGUGGCGAAGGCGGUCUGCUGGGGUAAUGCUGACACUGAUGCGCGACAGCGUGGGGAGCAAACAGG